rnacentral:rRNA from 1 species
AGCGAACGCUGGCGGCAGGCCUAACACAUGCAAGUCGAACGAACCUUUCGGUGUUAGUGGCGGACGGGUGAGUACCACUUGGUAACGUGCCUUUAGGUUCGGAAUAACUCAGGGAAACUUGUGCUAAUACCGAAUGUGCCCUUCGGGGGAAAGAUUAAUCGCCUUUAGAGCGGCCCGCGUCUGAUUAGCUAGUUGGUUGAGGUAAUGGCUCACCAAGGCGACGAUCAGUAGCUGGUCUGAGAGGAUGAUCAGCCACAUUGGGACUGAGACACGGCCCAAACUCCUACGGGAGGCAGCAGUGGGGAAUCUUGCGCAAUGGGCGAAAGCCUGACGCAGCCAUGCCGCGUGAAUGAUGAAGGUCUUAGGAUUGUAAAAUUCUUUCACCGGGGACGAUAAUGACGGUACCCGGAGAAGAAGCCCCGGCUAACUUCGUG